GUGAUUGCUUUGACAGCACAUAUACUGAAAAUGGAAUGAUACAGGGAAGAUUAACAUGGCUCCUGUGCAAGGAUGACACACAAAUUCAUGAAGCAUUCCAUAUUUUU
rnacentral:snRNA from 1 species